rnacentral:lncRNA from 1 species
AACAGAUCACGAUAGCUCGGGCUUUGUUGAAUUACAGAAUAAAGGAAAAGAUGGCUAUGGCAAACUCCUCCAAUGCUCCAAUACUAUUUACAAAGAAGUUUCCUAGUCAGAAUCCUAGACCAACAAGUCCACAGCCUCCUGCUACCACCUCGAAAAUCCUUCCUUUAAUCUGCCCGAAGGUGGUUCCUCGAAACAGAUCUAUGUCAGCAACAGCAAAUGAGAAGCCCGUACAGACAUCAUCGCAAACACCUACUCCUGAAAGCCGUGGUGUUCGUCCACAGAAAUUCCCUGCAGCUGGAGCAGCGCCUUAUGUUCCCAUCAGACAAUUAAGGACACCUUGCUGUGGCAUUGCUCCACCAGUGACAAUAAGAACUGCAGUGCCUGUUUUCUCUGCACCUCCGCGUCCAGCACCAUCUGCAGUAUCUCCUCAGCCACCGACAUCACUGGUUCCUACUCAUCCCGCUCAACCAGCACAAUCUGUUCUUCCUCCUCAUCAACUGCCAGCGACACUCCCCUCUCAAGUGCUGCGAGCUCCUCCAGUACGAAUUGCCCAAGCAGUCACCAUUAGGCAAGUGGUUCCUGUAUUUGCUGCUCCACCGGUACGGAAAGAAGAUAAACAAUCCGUUCCUCUCAGAAAUGAAGAUAUCACAACCGCUACUGCUGCUCCCCCGCCUAACCAAUCACCUACUCAAGCAGAGGAAGCAGCAAGCACAAUAUUGAAGAACCUGCAAGAAUCUGAGACGGUACAGAGUUUAGAACAACUCAAAAUCUGAUGGCAAGGAAGGAUCGAAUUCCGAAUGGAAGCAAUGGAGUAAGAGCUAUGGUUUUGUGUUGGUAUCAAAGUUUGUUUUUGUUACUUUUUGUCAACUCAUAUAUGAGUGUUCUUUUUCAUUUUGUUUUCUUAGAAAGCUAAAGCUACAGUUUCUGCAGAUUAAGUUAGUCCCAUAUAAUUGCAGUUAAAGUUAGACUAUGUCUAGAGGCAAAUUCUUAUUUAGUUUAUUUAUAAUUACCCCCCCCUCCCCGGAUCUAAUCCAAUGCUUCUGCUCGUAUUCAAUUUUAAAUGGUCAAAUUGUGGUUUUGGUCCUUGAGAUUUUUUUCUUAAAAAAUAUAUUUUCCAACACAAAAUCUUUGCCAGCAUGGUGAGGGGUCAAAAUUAUAAUAUCACCUCAAUAUUUUAACCAUGAUAUAGAAAAUUAUAAAUGAAUGGAUUUAUGCUUCCGUCUUUUUCAACCAGUCUCUUACUCUUCGGAAAAGCAAGUGUCGUGUCGAAGCUACCACGAUUGGAUAGUAAUGGGAGUAGUGAAUGAUGGUUGAGUCCCCACUAAAUCCAUUUCCCAACAUUAUGAGAAUCUGCUAAUUUUGGGCAAAGCUCAUUUGUGAUAUGGAAAGAUAAAUUGUUAAAGCAAGCAACUACAUGGACGCUCAAAUCUUUAAUAAAUCUAAGUAGUGGAAAGGAAAAGAUAUACAUUAACAUAGCUGGGGCGUUGGAAAGAUAUAGAUAUAUUUGGAAAAUCAGUGAAUGAUGUUUUCCAUUCAUAAACAACAAAAGACCAUCUUUCUCUUUUGAUUCACAUUGCUCUGUUUUAGUCUUUCUUGAUUUUAAACUCUCUUACAUCACCCUCUCCCCUCAACACUACUCUCUGUUUCCUUCACUUUGUGGGAUGGUUCUGGCUUAGAUUGUUGAAGUACAUCAGAGGGUAAAAACUGGAUUGGUGAACUAUUUGUGAUUUUCCACUAGUAUAUAUCAUAUUUGGUUAACUUUUGAACGUAAGUUGAGUACUUGGCAAUGGUUGUGCCUCAACUGUUAGCAUAUAUGCAUGUCGCAUAGGACCUCACGACUUGUCCCGGUCUUUGAAAAUCUGGAUACUUUUAUAAAACUUCAAAUUGCCUUAUAUGUCUAAUUCAUCUGUUGGCAGGUUAUAGCAGUUAAUGGGGCGUUUCCUGGUCCUGUUGUUAAGGUCACAACUGUGAAUAUUAAUGCUCACAAUCAGUUGGACGAAAAUCUUUUGAUGACUUGGUAGGAUUUGAGUGUUGAGAUAAAAAAAAUUUCUUCUUCCCUUGGGAUAUUAUUACUACUAUUAUUUGUUCCAAGUCAGGUUCUGAAACUAGAGAUUUUACCGGGCCAGGAAUUCCAAAUUCAUGGCAGGAUGGUGUUCUUGGCACCAACUCAUCCAAAAAAAGAAUUUUACUUACCCAUUUCUCAAGUCAAGGAUCAAAAUUGGGAGCUUUUUCUACUUCCCCUCCCUCCUCAAUUUUCAAAUUAAUAAUCGGAAUAUUAUAGUAAUUCCUUUUCACCCUGACCAUCAUGUCAAUAUACGAGAUUUUUUUUUUGCAAUUUAAGUCUAAUAAUUGACACACUCUUAUUUUAGGCAUUGAAAACAACUCGAGUCUGGUGAAGAAUUUGGGAUGCCGGAUGGAGUUCUCAUAUAGGAAACGACCCAUAAUUAUACCAUAUAUAGUUGCCUAAAGUUAGCUUGACUUAAAACAUAAACCUCAAGUUUGGUCAAAAUUUACCCAUAUUUGUAAUGUCUAUUUCAAACUUGUUUAAGUUUAUCUAUUUAUUUUUAUUUUUAUUUAUUAGUUAUUAGUUAUUAGUUAUUAUUUAUAUAUUUUUAUUAUAAUUAUACAUUUUUUCUUUCACUGCAUUUUUAAAUAUAAACAGCUUUAACAUAUGUUUAACAUUAAAAUUUAAUAUAAUAAAUUUUAUGUUUUUAUAUGAUAUAAAUCACAUCAUAUAUAACAAAAAGAAGAAAAUAAUAUAUUAUAAAAUUUAAAAUAGGCUGGAUCAAACCGAGUUUAAAUGUUUUUAUUUUCAAAUUCAUUUUUUAACUUAACCUUUUUAGUCAACAUUUUCAAAGAGCAAGUAGCUUUAUCUUUGAAUAAAUUUAGGGUCUGUUUGAUUGCAAGUAAAAUAUUUUUCGUAAAAUGAUUUUUAGAAAAUGUUUUACUUUUCUGUAAAAUGAUUUACUGGAAAAUAUUUUCUGGUGUUUGAUUGAAUCUGUGUAAAAUAUUUUCUGCUGCUUGGCAGAUUUUUUGAAAAUAUUUUUCGAAAAAGUUGUUUUUACAUAUAUUAAUAUAUAUUAAUAAAUUUUUAUAUUUUAAAUUAUUUUUACAUAUAUUGCAAUGAUUUAUUUAUAAUAAUACUCAAUUAUUAAGCUACAAUAUUAAUUGUUAUAAAUUGAAAAAAACUAAUAUCAAAUAAAUUAUUUGUAAUUGUGUUAAAAAAAUAAGUAUUGAAUAAUUAAAAAAACAAGUUACUGGAAAAUCGAUAAACAGAAGCAGUUUUCUACCGGAAAUGAAGGAAGGAAUGAAAGAGGCGAUAGGCGAUAGAGAGGAGAGCACGGAAAAUGUCUUACGAAAAUUGAAAGGGUAAGACAUUUUCCCUAAAAUGUAACCCAUUUUCCCUUGUUUUGGAGUUCAUUUUCCAAAUGGAAAAUGUUUUCCGCCAAUCAAACGCUGGAAAAGUUGAAAACGAUUUUCCGGAAAAUCAAUUCCGUCAAUCAAACAGACCCUUAGUAAUUAAUUGCCUAUUUUUAUUAAAAUAUAUAUUCACAUGGAUUUUUUUUUUGAAGAAAACAUUGUUCAAACAUAGAAAUUUAUGUAAUCAUUCUCCAAUUGGUAAGGAUUAAGGAUGACGUGGAAUCACAAUUUCUUACAAUCCCUUCUCAUCAUGUUGGAAUGAUUUUAAAAAAAAAUCCAACCAAAGUCUAUUUGAAUUAAUUACUGAUAUUAUAAAAAUAAAGAAAACAAAAUUAUGUGAAAUAAGUAAAUAGAAUAAUUUGAGCAUAAUGGAUUACCAAAGUGCUGGCUAAUCACUGCAAUAUGAAGAAUGGAGAGUCCAUCAUGAUCUCUAGUGUAAUGCUUGUGAAGAUUUCCUCCCAUUCCUUCCAUCUGUGUAGCCAAGUACUUCAUCGACAAGUUGCCAUAUUCGACAGCUCUGAACAAUGGGGUUUCCCCCAACUUGUUCCGAUCCGCCAGUAUCUCUUCCCUCUCCCGUAUAUAGUCUUCAUGAUGCAAGCCGUCAGAGAACAAUACCUCCUUCAUUAACAAAUCGGCUGCUUCGGCUUUGGCAGUGGUGACCAGUUCAUGGAGUACGGUGUUCCCAUAAACGUUCUUCACCUUCAAUACCUCGCACUUCUUUGUUUGCGGCACCAACUUAACCAGGGUUUGAAGCAUUGCUCCACUUCCUCUGUAAGCUGCAACGUGAAACAUAUGUAUCUCCACAAGCCGUGAUUGGGUUGAACAAGGCCUCAUGGUUUUCCUUGUAAGUCGCUGCCAACCACUGAUCGUGGUUUGCCAAAAGAGUUGUCGUAAGCCACUUUCAUUUCAUGGAAUUUGCUGUUCAUCUCGGAUUUGGAGAUCAUUAUUUCUUUCUCCAUUCCCAUUGAUGAAACUUUGAUAUAUAACUUAUAUAACUACAAUCCCUCUGGCCCCAACUUUCGUACCCAACGGCAUCGAGAAACCACACAACCAUUUAGCAUUUCAGUCUCGAAGUACACCUCUAAAUUGACGCAUGAAGUUCAUCAAUAUGUGACACUAGCCCAUCUGUAUUAUGAUUUAUCCAAUCCUUCUGGACAAGACUAAUUCAAUAAAAAACACAUGAAUUUAGAAUGAUCCAAUUUUAAAUUUGUCUCCGCAUAAUUCCUCGCCCGCAUAUAACCUGUAUCCACAAAGGCUUGAUCAUAAUUUUGACAGCUAAAAUAACAUUUUAAACAUUUAUUUAUCAUUUAAUGUAUGUUUUGUGAUAUUUAUGUUGAUUAUAAAAUUACUUAUCUUUUAAAUUUUAUUUCAAAUAUAUAGUGUUAUAUUUUUGAAUUUAUGAUAAUUAUAUUUUAAUAGUUAAAAUAUAAUUUAUAUAAUUAAAUUAAAAAUUUACAAAGAAUUAAAAUUAACUACUUAAACUUUAUAUUUCAGCUAUCAAAAAAUUAGUAAUAAAUUAAAAUAAAUAAUUUUCUCAUAUUUUUAUUGAAACAUUGAAUUUAAAUGUCAUUUAAAUAUAUAUAUUUACUUUUCAACAUUAUAUCUAAGAUCAAAAUUUUAACUUCUUAAAAACAAUUUUUAACAAUAGUACUUCAAUUUUAAACCAAUUUUUUUAAAAAAAAUUCGGGAGCAACGUAAUUCUAUUUAUAAAAGUUUUACAUAGGGUAGUAAUAAUUAAUCCAUUAAUAACUAAUAGGCAUAAUGAAAAAUUUAUCCCUUAAUGUUUAUAUUCUUUUUAUCAAUUUGACCCUUUUUCUUUUAGUUAAGUUUGACGCUUAAACUUCUAUAAAGAAUCGAAUUUAACCAUUAACCUUUCAAAAAAAAGUAGAAUUGUUUUUUUUUAAAUAUAAUAGUUAUUAAAACAUUUAAUUUUUAAACAUGGCAAACCGCAUGGUAAUUUAUGUGUAUUUCAUGUUAUUUUUUAAAUUUUUAUGAUUUUUUAUAUAUUUUUAAUUUUUAAAUAUUUAUUGACAUUACAUAUAAAACAAAUAGUUCCAUAUCAACAUCAAAUAAGAUUACCACAUGGGUUGCAAAACGAUUUGAUUUUUUUUUUGAAAGAUUAAUAAUUAGAUUUAACUAAAAAAAGAGAGAAUAAAUAUCAGAUUGAUAAAAGAUGUAAACAUUUAAAACUAAAUUUGUCAUUAAGCCCUAAAUAGUUAUAGCAAUUAUUUCAGCAACUAAUAUGUGUGGAUUUAAGUAUGUUUAAGCGCGUUUUUUUUUAAUUUAAGGGUUAAAAAUGUUAUAAAUAAAAGUAAACAUCUUAUGAAAAAUAUAUAUUACAUUACAAUAGAGAUAUAUACUUUUAUUUUGCUUAAAACAAAAAAGAAAAUCCAUGUAUUAUAAGGUUGUAAGUAAAUUUAUCUCUUUCAAAAUAAAUUGACCAAUUAAAUCUUUAUAUCAUUGCGAAGUAAGCAAAUAAAGAUAAUUAAAUAUGAUUAAUAUAUAUUUUAAAAAAAUCUCCAAAGUUUUUCAAAAGAAAAUGAAAAAAAUACGAAUAAUUUCAACCUUUAGUUUUGAUUCAAUUAAUUUUAUAACUUAAAAAUAUAAAUUAAUAAUAAUUAAUAUAAAAGUAUAAAAUUUUAAAAAUAAAAAAUAUUUAUAAUAUAUGAAAGCAAGAGCAAUUUUUGAAUUAAUUUAUCAUAUUAUUAAAUAACUAAUUUUAAAAAAAAUUAGACAUAAUAAUUUAUUAAUAUUUUACUAAUUACGAUGUGAUAAUAAUAAAAAUAUCAUUAUUUAACAAAUAAUUAAUAAAUAGUAUAUUAAUAUAGUAGAAUAAUUAUUUGGUGCGGUGAUGAAAAAUUUUAACUAUUGUUCGACUCUCCGUGGACCUUCUCACUCCCUCGCCGCUCGAAUCCUAGUAAGUUCUUUCUCAGAUCUUCUGCUAAUGGCGCGCCUUGUUUUUUUUCUUUUUUUUUUGUCUUUCUAUGCUAAAUUGAGCCGUGGGGUGUGAUCGGUGUUAGCCUGCUCCGCCGUCGUGAUCGCCGGAGGUUCAGCUCAGCUAGUCGUAGGGAAUUACUAGAAUGCCCUUCAAUAGUUAAUGAAUUAGCAGAAGGCAGUGGGUUUUCUUGGCUUUUCUUCAGAUGAUGGAAGCGAAAACUUAAUUAAUUUUUGAGGGAAAUAAAAAUGGGAUUCAAUCUUAUGAUUUUUCUUCAAUUUUUUCUCUCUCUAAUAUUCUGGGAAACUGCUGUAUUUUGAUGAUAUGGGUUUUGUAGGUGUAAUUAAUGGCUUAAUCAUGGAUAUUUUGAUCAUAAAAAUGUUUCAUUUCAGGCCAUCUCAAUUGACUGCCCGAGGAUAAAACGGUAGAGAAGGCAAAAUUUAAUUUGGUGUCUCAAUCUCUUGCAGACUUUAAUUAGUUCAAGUAGGUGUAUGAACAUUUGUUGGCGCAAUAGAAAAAAAAAACAACCCAGAAAAAGAAAAAGAAAAAGAAAUGUGAUAUGCAAAUGUUAUUGUAGGUUAAAAGAACGUGGUUUUUUGGGACAGGUUUUAUGGGAAGAGUGGGUUCGGUUUCGGGUUGGUAAUGCUUCCUAGAGAAACAGUUAGUUUUGCUUUAGCAAAUGAUCAAAGUUAUCAUUUUUAAUUUUGUAUGAAUUGUUUUGUUGAGACUGAGUGUUGGUGCAUUAUUAAUAUGAAUUGCCUUUUUCGGCAUAGUGAAAAGCAUGUAAAUACGAGCAAAAUGGGGUGCUUGGACUUAGGUUGGGGGAUCAUGUAGAACUACAAGGAUGAGAGGCAUUUUAGUUAAUUGUUUCAUAUGAUAUUCAUGAUGGUGGUUGAAAUUUUUCUCGUUGUGUUGCUUGUUUGUUUCUUGUUGUCAUCUUGGUUAGUUCACAACCGUUAAGACUCUUCGAUUUUCAUGUCCUGGUAGAAGUAGUUUGUAAACUUAUGAUUGUGUUCAUCGUGGUCAUCGGUGUUGUCUAAUCUAUGGACCAACUUGUGAAUGUUAUUAUAAUGAAGCUACGCACCUUCCGUGAAUUGGCAAAUUCUUGAUGAUUUUUGUUGUGUUUAUAUCUCAAUUUUCUCGAAUAUGCCUCUGGAUAUCUCAAUCUUCUUGUUCCUAGGAAUAAAUUAAUAUUCUAUUCCUUUCUAGAUAAACAGAAACAUGAGUUUUAUUGAGAUUGAUACUGAUCCGGCCUUGUUAUGUUAGGAUGAGACGGGAGUUUAUAAGAACCUCUUACAGGAAAUUGCACAAAGAGUUGGGGCUCCAUUGCCUCAGUAUACAACAUUUAGAUCAGGUCUCUGGCACCUGCCUAUUUUUACAGGAACGGUUGAAUUGGCUGGAAUCAGAUUCACUGGGGAACCAGCUAAGAACAAGAAACAAGCGGAAAAGAAUGCAGCCAUGGCAGCUUGGACAUCUCUAAAACUAUGUGAGUCUGUGUUUCAUUUUUCCUAGGGAUAAAUGUUUGUUCGAAAUUGAAUACUGUGUUUUAUUUCCAGUGGCGAAAGAAACUGCAAGUUCUUCUUCGGAGCCAGAGAACAAUGAUGAGCUUGAACAGAUCACGAUAGCUUGGGCUCUGUUGAAUAAAGGAAAAGAUGGCUAUGGCAAACUCCUCCAAUGCGCCAAUACUAUUUACAAAUAAGUUUCCUAGUCAGAAUCCUAGACCAACAAGUCCACAGCCUCCUGCUACCACCUCGAAAAUCCUUACUUUAAUCUGCCCGAAGGUGGUUCCUCGAAACAGAUCUAUGUCAGCAACAGCAAAUGAGAAGCCCGUACUGAUAUCAUUGCA